UGGAAGUAAAAGUCGUAACAAGGUCUCCGUUGGUGAACCAGCGGAGGGAUCAUUACCGAGUUUUACAACUCCCAAACCCAAUGUGAACGUUACCAAACUGUUGCCUCGGCGGGGUCACGCCCCGGGUGCGUCGCAGCCCCGGAACCAGGCGCCCGCCGGAGGAACCAACCAAACUCUUUCUGUAGUCCCCUCGCGGACGUAUUUCUUACAGCUCUGAGCAAAAAUUCAAAAUGAAUCAAAACUUUCAACAACGGAUCUCUUGGUUCUGGCAUCGAUGAAGAACGCAGCGAAAUGCGAUAAGUAAUGUGAAUUGCAGAAUUCAGUGAAUCAUCGAAUCUUUGAACGCACAUUGCGCCCGCCAGUAUUCUGGCGGGCAUGCCUGUCCGAGCGUCAUUUCAACCCUCGAACCCCUCCGGGGGAUCGGCGUUGGGGAUCGGGACCCCUCACACGGGUGCCGGCCCCGAAAUACAGUGGCGGUCUCGCCGCAGCCUCUCCUGCGCAGUAGUUUGCACAACUCGCACCGGGAGCGCGGCGCGUCCACGUCCGUAAAACACCCAACUUUCUGAAAUGUUGACCUCGGAUCAGGUAGGAAUACCCGCUGAACUUAAGCAUAUCAAUAAAGCGGAAG
rnacentral:rRNA from 1 species